GUGCCAGGCCCAUCUCAGUCCUCUCGGCCCAGGUUCUGUGGUACACUUGGACUUGGACUCUGGAGCAGUCAGUGCAUGACAGAACUUGGGUUUGGAUGGACCCUUUCGCAGACCACCCC
rnacentral:pre_miRNA from 15 species